UUUUUAUAUUAUGUUUUGUGUUUGUUUAUUUGAUAAAAUGGGUUAUUUUUUGGAAAAUUAAAUUUUAAUUAAUUUUAAUCAAAAUGUUAUUUUAUUUUUUACUAACCUACUAACACUUAAUGUUUUGUCUAACCAUCGUGAUUGUCGACAGAUUUUGUUUGCUCAAUACAAUGUAAUAUCUUAUGUUCAAGUCGAAACCAUUACUCGUCAUUCCUCAAUUGUGAUGAAAAGCAAAAAUGAUGGCCAUUCUAAAGUUCGGAUUGAUUAGAGAUAGACUUUAUUGUGUGAAAUAUUCAGUUAAAUUAGUAGUUUCACGAUAUUGCUUGGAAAAUUUGAAAAAAACAAAAUGGCCUCUGACCACAACUUCUUACACAAUACAAUGAGUGUAAAAAGAAUGAUGAGAGUAGAUUGCAUUUCAACAGAUUUCACAUGAAUGAGCGCAACCUUUUUAUGGCUAAUCUAAUCUGGUAAGGAUGAUCGUAUCGGGCUACUUACGGAGGCAAAUAAUCACGAUUAACAAUGAAAUCUUCCCGUCUGGUUUAAACAACUAAAAGGGGAAGAAACAUGGAAACAUGAGAUACGAAAUGCGGGAGAAGACAAGGAUUCAUUAUAUACUUUCAAUAGCGAAAUCAUGAAAAUCUAACAUCAUUUAAUCUCGUGUUUGUCUAUCAAGCUUUUAUACACAGAUUGAUGUCAUUCCUUAACUGCCAGUUUGGUAUAUUACUUCAAAAGGUUUGCCUUGGAUUUGGUCAGAUCUUUGGUCAAGCUAGAGAGGCAUUUCACAUCAAACAAGCCUAUGUGUUUCAAAUUUUGAUGAACAUAUCGUCAUUUGCUGAAUCCCAGCUCUUUUGGCAUUGACUUAACCUGAGUCGACUAUCAAGAACCAUUGAAAGGGAAGGAUAUUUGAUUAUGGAGAGUCCAAGCUGCAACAAAAGGAUAUUAUUUGAACUUUUCAACAAAUAUAUUUUCUCAUCCAUAUUUCAGUCUCUAAAUAGUUACAUGAAUUUACCAGAUUUGCUUCUAUGAUCACCAUGCUUUUGUUUAGGAAUCAGGAUGAAAAUUUGAUCUUUCAGCCAUAAUGGCUUAAUCUUGACCAAGUGCUUUUGAGCAAUAAAUGUCUCUUUGCUUGUUUGUCUGUAA